rnacentral:lncRNA from 1 species
AUUUGCAUUGGCUUUGGGAUCACACUUUGGCAUCCUCCUUGCCCUUUAUUCAUUGGGUUUGCAUUGGGAGAGAUCACCAAGCACUUUUUAUUGUAUCAUACUUUCUUUUCUUUUGUUUACUAACCAAAAUACCAAAAAUAUAUCUAUGUAUAGUUUCAUUUCUUUUGUAGGUAGUGUGUACAUCCACCUGUGCCUCAUCAAGCUCACAUCUACGGUUUGAGACACUCAAUAAAAGAGAUCAACCAA